rnacentral:tRNA from 1 species
GGCCUCGUAGUUCAACGGAUAGAACGGAAGUUUCCUAAACUUUAGAUAGGGGUUCGAUUCCCCUCGGGGCUAC